CCCUGGUUCACAGGUGUUAUAUGAAAGCUCAGGACUCAGAGUGAAGCUCUGUCUCCUUGUUUGCUUCUCUUUGCUUGUGUGUCUUCUACUGUUUUGUAUCUCACUCCACUCUCCAGAUCCUGCAGCUGCAACUCACAAUUCCAGGCAAGUUUCCCUAAUCAGGAUGCAGUGUUGGCUGACCAUAUGCUUUGAAACCCGAGCUAUAUUUCACCCAGACCUCUGAAGUAGCUGAGCAGCCACUCAACCUGGAGGACAGCAGCUGGCAGUGAGAGGCGGGCAGAGACGUGACCCAGAAGAGCAUCUGCUGAGAAGAGGUGCCAAAGUACAACUUUCAGCCUUACCCUAAAGAGUGUUUACAUCUUUUCUUAUGAAAUGCUGUUGGAAUCAUCCUGUUUCAUGGGGAUUCUGAGUUUCAACACAACGGUUUUCCCAUGCACAGCUCUCUGUUAGAAGGUUUUCAGCUCUUUCUGGCCACAUUACUGGCUAACACAGACUCAGUACAUCUACCUGCAGUAUAGUUGUGGUGUAAGAAAUUCCAUUAACUGAAGCAUUUUAAUAAAAGCUGUACCACUGCAUAUAUGCUUGAAAUCUGCCUAGAAACAUCUUACCUCCAGCGUGACAUAUUCUGAAAGAGUGUUAUCAUUACAGUAAAGCCUCUUCUCUUUCAUCUAUGACCUACUUUACAGUAAUUUCUAUCAAAAAGCACAAAUGCCUACUGAAUAAAACUCUGUACAUUUUAUCCUUUACCCCGGGAUCUUAAAAUCUUUUAUUAACCUUCAUAAAUUAACCUCUCAGUGGCACCCUAGGUGAUGCUCGCGGCACGCUUUGGGAAACUGAGGAAGUGGAGGCAAAGACUGAGAUGCUGAGCUGCCGUAUGAGCCUGCAGCGGGCCCAUGAGGCUGCCAAGGCCAUCUGAGUUCCCAGAAGCUCAAUUCUACCUCAGUGUCUUCUCCUGAACUUAGUCAUAAAAUAACGGGGAGUGGGGAGAGCUCUUCUGGCACACAGGCUGUGGAAAUCCUUAGGCUAUUUUGCUCUUAUUCAGUUCCCACGUGAUCGAUUAGCACAUGUGAUGUAACGUUUUAUUAUAAAAUUUACGGGCUUCAAUUGUACCAGGAAGUAAAGCAGUGAAAAGGAAAAGAAGGGAAGUAGUUCCAGAC
ensembl:lncRNA